AAGAACCAGCACCACUUUCUGUGUUUCCCGUGCUGUUGGUUGUUGGUCUGGUUUCUGGAGUUUUACUGAUUAUUCUCCUGCUGCUGUUUCUGUGUUUCUACAGAAAGUCAAAAGCUUCAAGCCUCAGCAGGUCUCAGAGGACCAAUCAGAGCCCAGCUACAGACCACAUGAUCAACCAGGGUGAAACUCAAGACGGACAUUACACUUCUCUUCUUCCUGGUGAUUCUUGUGUCUAUGAAACACUCAGAGGCUCUGAAGAACCUGAACAUGGUGCAGUACAUCCUGUGUGUUCAUCACACAGCUGUUAAAUACUAGAAUCACAUGAUCAAGUGACUGGUUGACCAUCCUUUAAAUUAAAGACAAAGUGUAUCGAUGAUGUCACAGAUUCUGUGUUUGAGCUCAAAGACAUUGAUGGCUAAUGUGAACACUUCUAUAAGGGAACAACCUGCAGUAGUUGAGAUGCUUUUGGAGGCCAGCAGAGCUUUAAUAAAGGAGAAUAAAGUGUCUCUUCAUGCAUUCAUCUGAUCCUUCUAACAGGGACGCACCAAUGAUGCACCAGAGGAGAGAGAUUACCAAAAUGUGGAUGGAACCAGCUGCAGAUGAAUAAAACACCUGCAUGGACAGAACCAGGGGAACGGAUGACGACAUGAAAAACCACAUCUUUGUCUUUUGAAUAAUCAUUGAAUGAACUUCUUUCCUGAUAUGAGAAAGUAUUUUGUAGUUAUAUUACAUAUACAUCAUAUGUCUUUAAAGAGUUUAGUGGCUGAAAAUAGUUGAUUAUUACAUAUACUUAUUCAAAUGUUGAAGUUGAUUGUGCACUGUACAUGUUUUCUGCUCUGUCACUUUGUUUUUUAAAACUUUUUUUAAUGAAGGCUUGUUUGAAAAGCAGAAAAAAUAAGUUUGACGUUUUUGAGCUUCAGUAGGUUGGUGAUAUUAUUCAAUAUAUCUUUUCUUUUAUUUCUGAUACAUUUCUUACACAUUUAAUCUGUUAUUGGACACAUAUUUCUCCAACAUUUGAGUUUAUCUUUGUCUUUUUAACAGUUUUAAGGUACUUUUUGUGUUUUAUCUUCACCUGCUUGUGUUUAACACAUUUUCUAAUGUUUAAUCUUUUUAUGCAUCAAUAAACUUGCAGCUCUAAGUGUCACGGUUUGGUUCUGCUUCCUGUCUUAUUUUGUAAUUUUCAUGUCUCUUGUGUUCCUGGGUAACUUCACUUCCUGCCUUGUCCUGUCUUCCCCUGUGAUUGUCUGCUGUGUCAAUGAUUGUUUCCACCUGCCUUGUGUAUUUAAGCCCUGUCAGUCUCUUGUCUCAUGUCUAGUCAUUGUUUCCUGUCACCUGUUCAGGUUGGUCUGUCGCUUAUGUUUUUGGUAAAUAUUAAAGAGCACUUUAUUUAU